rnacentral:rRNA from 1 species
UACGUAGGGUGCGAGCGUUAAUCGGAAUUACUGGGCGUAAAGCGUGCGCAGGCGGUUUUGUAAGCCAGAUGUGAAAUCCCCGGGCUUAACCUUGGAACUGCGUCGGAUACUGGAUGGCUUGAAUUCGGGAGAGGGAUGCAGAAUUCCAGGUGUAGCGGUGAAAUGCGUAGAUAUCUGGAGGAAUACCGGUGGCGAAGGCGGCAUCCUGGACCGACAUUGACGCUGAACGGCGAAAGCUAGGGGAGCAAACGGG